rnacentral:rRNA from 1 species
AGAAUCAACGCUGGCGGCGUGCCUCAGACAUGCAAGUCGAACGAUUAAACUUUCCUUCGGGAAAGAUAUAAAGUGGCGCACGGGUGAGUAACACGUAAGUAAUCUACCUUUGAGUGGGGAAUAACCCGGGGAAACCCGAGCUAAUACCGCAUAAUGCAGCGGCAUCGCAAGAUGACAGUUGUUAAAGGAGCAAUCCGCUUAAAGAGGAGCUUGCGGCAGAUUAGCUAGUUGGUAAGGUAAUGGCUUACCAAGGCUACGAUCUGUAACCGGUCUAAGAGGACGGUCGGUCACACUGACACUGAAUAACGGGUCAGACUCUACGGGAGGCAGCGAGUCGGGAAUUUUGGGCAAUGGGCGAAAGCUGACCAGCAACGCCGCGGUGAAGGAUGAAGUAUUCGGUAUAGUAAACUUACGAAAACGAAGUAAGGAAAGAAAUAAAGUAGAACGGUUAACUUAGUUUAA